rnacentral:rRNA from 1 species
UACGGAGGAUGCGAGCGUUAUCCGGAUUUACUGGGUUUAAAGGGUGCGCAGGCGGUUGUUUAAGUCAGGGGUGAAAGCCCUAUGCUCAACAUAGGGAUUGCCUUUGAUACUGAACGGCUAGAGUGAAGAUGGAGUGGGUGGAAUGUGUUGUGUAGCGGUGAAAUGCGUAGAGAUCAGGAGGAACACCGAUGGCGAAGGCAGCCCCCUGGGCCUGUAACUGACACUGAGGCUCGAAAGCGUGGGGAGCAAACAGG